UAAAUCUUGAAUAGAUUGUCUUCUGUGUUUGGCUGUGUCCAAGGGAGUGAGAGGACCUUCUUCAAAACAGUUUGUUUUGGUGAACAUUCUAAUGAAAUUGUAGAAUAUAAUUUCAAAAUUCUACCAAAAGCUUGAUUCAGGGUGAUUUGAUUUGGCAGUUUUCUGUUUACUUUGUGUUAGCAUCUCAUUGAUCAGGUCAUCUCGUGAACUAGUCAUUCCCUAUUUUCAGUAUUGAAUUCAUCAUCCAGUUGUUUCUGCUUUUGCAGAUCUUGUGCUGAAAGAUAAGAUUUUUGUAUAUGACUUGGCUAAUGAGCGUAUUGGAUGGACAAACUAUGACUGUUCCUUAUCAGUAAACGUCUCAGUGGCUGCAACCAAGAGCAAAGAUCAGUACAUCAAUGCAGGAACGCUGAGUGUCAGCAGCUCCCUCAUAGGCCAUGUAUACAAGUUACUACCUGUAAGCAUUGUGGUUCUCCUUGUCCACAUGAUAGUUUCCAUGGUGUCCCCAAUUUCGUGACUCACUUCCAAGAUUUUCAAAAGCUCAUUCUUUGAAACUCCCUGGAUUCGCCGAUGUUUUGCUCAUUAUCGGCGGUCCCAUGAUGUUUUGACGGGGAUUUGUAGCUGUUUCUGCUCUGUAUUUAUGUCAUUGGCAUCUCUCCAUUAAAUAUGAUGAAAAUGUGAAAUCUCAUUGUAAAGCGGCUCUCUUUUAGAGAAAUGGCAUACUUGUAUAUUAUUAUAUCUGUAAUGGUAGAUUAAAUUGUAGUAUUUAUAAAGGUGCUCUGAACGCAUAGAACAUUUCAGUUGUCACUUGUGAGUAGAGUUACUUUCAUAGAAAUCUCACAUGGUCAUGGUAUUCCAUUAA